rnacentral:rRNA from 1 species
UACGUAGGGUGCAAGCGUUGUCCGGAAUUAUUGGGCGUAAAGAGCCCGUAGGCGGUUUGGCACGUCGGCCGUGAAAACUCGGGGCUCAACCCCGAGCCUGCGGUCGAUACGGGCAGACUAGAGUGCUGUAGGGGAGACUGGAAUUCCUGGUGUAGCGGUGAAAUGCGCAGAUAUCAGGAAGAACACCCGUGGCUAAGGCGGCUCUCUGGUAAGGUACUGACGCUGAGACGCGAAAGCGUGGGGAGCGAACAGG